UAUCUGUCUGUAACUACACCCGUAGAAGCUUAUGUUACGUUAUCUUCGGACAGGGGUUCGACUCCCCUCGCCUCCAUUG
rnacentral:tmRNA from 1 species